rnacentral:lncRNA from 1 species
AUUAGGAAUUUUUCUUUUGAAAACUAACUAAGGUCAGGAGCUAACUAACUAACAGAUCCCGAUGAGCUUUGGUGUUUAUGAACCGGUCGAUGCAGCCGUGAUCAUCCAGCAAAUAUACGAGUAUUUAUGUCGCCGUACGUUCAAACAAAGCAAGAUAUGUAUAUCCCUCAAAAAGAAAAAGAAAAAUAAAAUACGCAAGGGUCAAGGUACAGGCCGUUGCAGCAACAGAUUGGGUUAACUAACCAAUAAACUCGGAUCUAUCUAAACUACCUUACCGUGUGUACGCGGUCGAUAUGUUUGUGCUGUACUUGGUUUUUCGCACAAAAGCUGGAGGCUAGCAAAGGAAGAACAGUCCAA